CCCGGGAUUUCUAAUGGUCCGCCCCUAAUCAUCUGUCUCACAGCUUAAAAUUGUUUGAUCAUCUGGAAAAAUUGGGAAAUUACUCAUUUUUAGCAUCAUACAUGUAAAUUAGAUAUACCCUGUACAGCCAGAAUAUUCAUUCCCAACUUAUUGGGUAAAAGAAAGUGGGGAAUGUCGACCAAUUAUAGACUUGUUUCGUUUGGCCAUACAAACCAUGCUGCUACGAGACUGGAAUGUUACAGUUGAUUUUGAACACGAAACUUUGGCCGCUUCAAUUGCGAGGUUGGUUGGGUUGAUUGGCCGGUUUCCAAUCAACUUGAUGACCUUGUGUUUAUAGUUCCCAAAUUCCCAACCAACCUCGCAACUGGCGCGGCCAAAGUUUUGUGAAAUCAACUGUAAAUCGUUUCAAUUUUCAAAUCUGUCCGAGAUUAUCUUUGACUCUACCAUUCUGGCUGUAUACCUAAUUUAAAUACACUAUAUGAUGCUAAAAAUCCUUUCCCAAUUUUUCCAGAUGAUCAAACAAUUUUAAGCUGUGAGACAGAUGAUACUAAGAAGAACAUAUACUGUUUUAGUGAAGAAUUUCUAUUUAUUAACCUUGAAGGUCAAUGAAACCCCUUGGAAUAACACCUUAUUCUACAACAAAAAAUUAUCACUGAAAAGUCACCAAUACCUAAUAAAAAUAUUUUUACAACUUACCAUCAGGUAGGCCCAUAUAUGCUUGAGCAUGGGCUGCUCAGGACAUUACUGUGCUGCUAAAAGUACUCUUUUCCCAUUUUUUUGCUGUCAAACUUGACGUCCUUUCCAUCAUAAGACCUGAUCCAAUUUGUAGAAAAAAUAUGGGGAAGUUUGUACGACUCACUUUUGAUCUUUUCAUCACCGCACAAAAAAGUUUGUUAUAUACUUUGUUAUUUGGAUUCUUCUCACAGACCCUGUAUUGCAUCAAAAUAUUUGCAAAUAGCAAGGAUCAGGGAUUUGCUACAUUUUUAACACUUAAUACAACCUGUAUGAGAAAGUAGCAAAAAAAAUUUUGGUAGGAAAAUAUAUUAUUUGGGAAAUUUAAACCUAAAGCAACAGUAUGGGGUUCAGUACAAGACCUCUAUUCAACCAAAUCCACACAACCACAUUGUCAUUCAUUGAUCCCAAAAUUAUGGCAGUAGAUUUUCA